GCCCGGGUGGUGAAAUUGGUAGACGCGCUAGGUUCAGGUCCUAGUGGACGCAAGUCUGUAGGGGUUCGAGUCCCCUCCCGGGCAC
rnacentral:tRNA from 1 species